UUCCAGACUCCUACGGGAGGCAGCAGUGGGGGAUAUUGCACAAUGGGGGGAACCCUGAUGCAGCGACGCCGCGUGGGUGAAGAAGCGCCUCGGCGCGUAAAGCCCUGUCAGCAGGGAAGAAAAUGACGGUACCUGAAGAAGAAGCCCCGGCUAACUACGUGCCAGCAGCCGCGGUAAUACGUAGGGGGCAAGCGUUAUCCGGAUUUACUGGGUGUAAAGGGGGCGCAGACGGCGAUGCAAGCCAGGAGUGAAAGCCCGGGGCCCAACCCCGGGACUGCUCUUGGAACUGCGUGGCUGGAGUGCAGGAGGGGCAGGCGGAAUUCCUGGUGUAGCGGUGAAAUGCGUAGAUAUCAGGAGGAACACCGGUGGCGAAGGCGGCCUGCUGGACUGCGACUGACGUUGAGGCUCGAAAGCGUGGGGAGCGAACAGGAUUAGAUACCCGAGUACG
rnacentral:rRNA from 1 species